rnacentral:lncRNA from 1 species
CCCAUUGAGUUAUGGGUCCCAAUGGGUUGACCUGGUCAACAUUGCCAUGGGUCGCAGUGGGUUGAGCUGGCAGACAUCCCCAUGGAGCAGUGGGGUGUUCUCUAUGGGUUGACCAAGCCAACAUCUCUAUGGGAUUUCCCCACGGAGUCUGGGUUCACGUUGGGGCUCACGUUGGGGUUCACGUUGGCGUUGUUGGGGUUCAUUUUGGGGUUCACGUUGGCGUUGUUGGGGUUCACGUUGGGGUUCGUGUUGGGGUUCAUGUUGGCGUUCACAUUGGUGGUGUUGGUGUUCACGUUGGGGUUCACGUUGGGGUUCACGUUGGGGUUCAUGUUGGGGUUCACAUGGGCGUUGUUGGGGCUCAUGUUGGGCUUCAUUUUGGGGUUCACAUUGGUGUUGAGCUUCACAUUGGGGUUCAUGUUGGGGUUCAUGUUGGGCUUCCUCUUGGGGUUCAUUUUGGGGUUCACAUUGGGGUUCACAUUGGCAUUGCUGGGGUUCAUGUUGGGGUUCAUUUUGGGGUUCACACUGGGCUUCCUCUUGGGGUUCAUUUUGGGGUUCACAUUGGGGUUCACACUGGCGUUGCUGGGGUUCAUGUUGGGGUUCGUUUUUGGGUUCACAUUGGCAUUGUUGGGGUUCAUGUUGAGGUUCACGUUGGCGUUGAGGUUCCCAUUGGGGUUCAUGUUGGGGUUCACAUUGGCACUGUUGGGGUUCACGCUGAGGUUCACGUUGGGGUUCACAUUGGGGUUGGGGUUCAUUUUGGGGUUCACGUUGGGGUUCACAUUGGCGUUGCUGGGGUUCAUAUUGGGGUUCAUUUUGGGGUUCACAUUGGCAUUGUUGGGGUUCAUGUUGGGGUUCAUGUUGGGGUUCACGUUGGCGUUGUUGGGGCUCAUGUUGGGCUUCAUUUUGAGGUUCACAUUGGCAUUGUUGGGGUUCAUGUUGGGCUUCAUUUUGGGGUUCACGUUGGCGUUGAGGUUCACAUUGGGGUUCACGUUGGGCUUCCUCUUGGGGUUCACUUUGGGGUUCACAU